rnacentral:rRNA from 1 species
GACGAACGCUGGCGGCGUGGAUUAGGCAUGCAAGUCGAACGGUAUCAUCCUUUCGGGGGUGAGAGAGUGGCGAACUGGUGAGUAACACGUAGGUUAUCUACCUCAAGACGGGACAACCCAGGGAAACUUGGGCUAAUACCGGAUGUGAGCAACUUUUAGUGUUUGAAAGGUGGCGUAAGCUGUCGCUUGGGGAUGAGCCUGCGUCCUAUUAGUUAGUUGGUGAGGUAACGGCUCACCUAGGCAAUGAUAGGUAGGCGGCCUUAACGGGUGGUCGCCCACACUGGGAUUGAGAUACGGCCCAGACUCCUACGGGAGGCAGCAGUCGAGAAUAGUCUACAAUGGUCGGAAGACUGAUAGUGCGACGCCGCGUGAACGAUGAAUCCCUUCGGGGUGUAAAGUUCUUUUAUAUGUGAGCAGUGCUUCUUAUAUUAACAGUAUGGGGAGAGAGAUAUUAGCAUAUGAAUAAGCAACGGCUAACUCCGUG